AAAGGUAUAGCUCAAAUGGUAAAGCACAUGUUUAGCCUGCAUGAGGUUCUGGGCUCAAUCCCCAGUACUUUCU
rnacentral:tRNA from 1 species